AAAAGACUCAGCCCAUGAUCCUCAGCUUGCUCUCCACCUGGCAGACUUCUAAAGACCAGGGAGAGGGUCUGUUCUACCCUGGCUCAGUGGCUAGGAGACACUACAUACUGGCUUAGACGGCUGGUGGAGGACUGUCACCAUCAUUCCUGCUUGGCUAUGGACCCUGCAUGCUAAAAUUCUGACAUGCCAGGCAGAAUGCACCUGCUUGUGCAACAGUGGUUCAGCUAUCGUGAGUGAAACCAACCAGAACCAUGCAGUUGGAUUUAAGGCUCACCGCACAAGAAAGAGUUCAUUCACAUCUGGCUAGCUCCCUAAGCAGGGAGGCAAACAACAAAACAAAGUAGCUUCAAGAAACUCCCUGAAACUCCCUGCUGGACCAGCUACCUGGAAGAAGGGACCAGCUGAGCUGCCUGGAAGAAGGGACCAGCUGAGCUGCCUG